UACAGAGGUCUCAACCGUUGUUCGGAUUCAUUGGGCGUAAAGGGUGCGUAGGCGGUCGGGUAAGUCGGAUGUGAAAUCCCAGGGCUCAACCCUGGAACGGCCUUUGAUACUGGACGCUGGAGAUCGGGAGAGGUUGGUGGAAUUCCGAGUGUAGAGGUGAAAUUCGUAGAUAUUCGGAGGAACACCAGAAGCGAAGGCGGCCAACUGGCCCGAUACUGACGCUGAGGCGCGAAAGCGUGGGGGAGCAAACAGG
rnacentral:rRNA from 1 species